rnacentral:rRNA from 1 species
ACGAAUGCUGGCGGCGUGCUUAACCCAUGCAAGUCGCACGGAAAGGCCCUGCUUUUGUGGGGUGCUCGAGUGGCGAACGGGUGAGUAACACGUGAGUAACCUGCCCUUGACUUUGGGAUAACUUCAGGAAACUGGGGCUAAUACCGGAUAGGAGCUCCUGCUGCAUGGUGGGGGUUGGAAAGUUUCGGCGGUUGGGGAUGGACUCGCGGCUUAUCAGCUUGUUGGUGGGGUAGUGGCUUACCAAGGCUUUGACGGGUAGCCGGCCUGAGAGGGUGACCGGCCACAUUGGGACUGAGAUACGGCCCAGACUCCUACGGGAGGCAGCAGUGGGGAAUAUUGCACAAUGGGCGGAAGCCUGAUGCAGCAACGCCGCGUGCGGGAUGACGGCCUUCGGGUUGUAAACCGCUUUCGCCUGUGACGAAGCGUGAGUGACGGUAAUGGGUAAAGAAGCACCGGCUAACUACGUG